CACGUAGGGGGCGAGCGUUGUCCGGAUUCAUUGGGCGUAAAGGGCGCGCAGGCGGCCCGGAAAGUCGGAUGUGAAAACUCGAGGCUCAACCUCGAGCGUGCACCCGAUACUGCCGGGCUUGAGGCAGGUAGGGGAGAGUCGGAAUUCCUGGUGUAGCAGUGAAAUGCGUAGAUAUCGAGAGGAACACCAGUGGCGAAGGCGAGUCUCUGGACGACUCCUGACACUGAGGCACGAAAGCCAGGGGAGCAAACAGG
rnacentral:rRNA from 1 species